GACGAACGCUGGCGGCGUGCUUAACACAUGCAAGUCGAACGAAGAGCGAUGGAAGCUUGCUUCUAUCAAUCUUAGUGGCGAACGGGUGAGUAACGCGUAAUCAACCUGCCCUUCAGAGGGGGACAACAGUUGGAAACGACUGCUAAUACCGCAUACGAUCUAAUCUCGGCAUCGAGGAUAGAUGAAAGGUGGCCUCUACAUGUAAGCUAUCACUGAAGGAGGGGAUUGCGUCUGAUUAGCUAGUUGGAGGGGUAACGGCCCACCAAGGCGAUGAUCAGUAGCCGGUCUGAGAGGAUGAACGGCCACAUUGGGACUGAGACACGGCCCAGACUCCUACGGGAGGCAGCAGUGGGGAAUCUUCCGCAAUGGACGAAAGUCUGACGAAGCAACGCCGCGUGAGUGAUGACGGCCUUCGGGUUGUAAAGCUCUGUUAAUCGGGACGAAAGGCCUUCUUGCGAAUAGUGAGAACGAUUGACGGUACCGGAAUAGAAAGCCACGGCUAACUACGUG
rnacentral:rRNA from 1 species